rnacentral:rRNA from 1 species
GACGAACGCUGGCGGCGUGCCUAACACAUGCAAGUCGAACGAGAAUCGACGGAUUGAGACUUCGGUUGAUUGAAGUUGAGGAAAGUGGCGAACGGGUGAGUAACGCGUGAGAAACCUGCCUUUCAGUGGGGGACAACAGUUGGAAACGACUGCUAAUACCGCAUAACGUAUCGAGGGGGCAUCCCUUUGAUACCAAAGCUUUAUGUGCUGAAAGAUGGUCUCGCGUCUGAUUAGCUAGUUGGUGAGGUAACGGCCCACCAAGGCGACGAUCAGUAGCCGGUCUGAGAGGAUGAACGGCCACAUUGGGACUGAGACACGGCCCAGACUCCUACGGGAGGCAGCAGUGGGGGAUAUUGCACAAUGGGCGAAAGCCUGAUGCAGCGACGCCGCGUGAGGGAAGACGGUUUUCGGAUUGUAAACCUCUGUCUUCGGGGACGAAAAUGACGGUACCCGAGGAGGAAGCCACGGCUAACUACGUG